CGGGGUGGGGGGAGAGGCCGCCGCAGGCCCUGCCCGGCCCUGUCGAAGCUGCGCCUGUCUCAGGCGUGUAGCUGGCGCAGUCAAAAAGGAGCCGACAGCGAGCUGUUUUCCACGACGGUCGCUGCGCAGUUUGUCCUGUAACUGCGGAGCAACAUCCCGGGAAAACACACGUGCGGGAAAGGCCCCGGCCCGGCGGUAGGCCUCGGCCUCGGCCCAAGGCCGUGCGGCACAGCGGGGUCCCCACUGGGGUGGGUGCGUGGAGGAGGAGAGGUCGAGGGUAUCAGAGCUUUUCUGUUGUCCUAAAGGAUUUUCUCCGUGUAAGAAGCUGCCCAGCGUUGAAGACUGGAGCUGUUGCAGUCCUUCAAGCAUGGAAGGGGAUCCCGUGUACACAAGGUCAUGGUGUGGUGGUGGCCAGGGCUCAGCACCACGAGCAGGGCACUAGUGGUUCCUGGAGUGUGUGUGUGUUAGUGGCAUGUGUCCAUGCAGAGUAGUAUCUGCUGUCUGUUCCUGACCACGCAUGUUGCAGUGUGUUCCAGGGCUACUUGAUGAUCAGGAGCUUGCUCAACUGAUUGCCUGCCUGUUGGAUAGACCCACCAUGGCGCUUGCAAGGAAUCACUUGCUUAGUGGAAAAGGCUGAGAGCUCGUAGACCCAAGUGAUUAAUCUCUUGCUCCAGUGAAGAGGAUCAGUUUGCUCCCCAAAAGGCCUAUAUUGCGUGUGGGGAAGCUAUGCAGCUAAACACGUCUAAAUGGAUCACGCUGCUGAGAUGAACCAGUCUCUGAAGGUUUUGGUGCCUCUCUGCAAGUCUUCUGUCUCUUUCCAAGCCUCUCCUAAAGUAGUGGCAGUUCUGCAUAAGGAGAUUAAAAAGAUCCUGGUUCCUUUGUAAGCUGUGAGCUCCCCCAGGUGGGGCAACUGCUUUAAUUCAGGAGUCAUUAUUAUUACAAGUUGCAGGAGCUUGUUUCACUAUAGAUGUUACUAAAGUUUCAAAAUAUUCAGCGUAGGAGAAGUGUUCUGGCUACAGAGUUUUGUCAGGGGAAGAGUUUGGGGGAAGAGUCUGAAGUUAAAACAUUUGGAGAGUAGGAAAAAAAAUGCAUUUGAAAUUC